GCAUGUGAUCUUGUAAUAUUUGGAUUUUCACACAUUUCUGUCUUGUGUUCCUGUCUUUGCUGCUAGCUGGCUACUCCUCCCUUCACAAUAGCAGAUUUCCAGUUCUCCAUGGCAUGUUGUAAGCACUGUGGGAUAUGCAAUUGGAUGACAAACUCAAGAGACUGAACUUUGACAGUGCUGGAACUAUUAAAGUCUAAGGAGAUUUUGAGGAAUGGACUAAUUGCCUUUCCUGAAAGAAGACUUUCUGUGUCCUGAUUUGGGGAAGCUAAGGGAAAUUCAAUGCAGAUUCACUCAACUUUCAAAAUGUCACACAGGAAUUAAUUCAGUAUCUUGGAAGACAAAGGAAAUUGAACAUGGCAGAUCAAACCUCUGCAUAGGGAAUUCCCAACAACAUAUAACGGGCUAGUGGUCAUUAUACACACCAGUGUGAUCCGAGGAGCUGGGUCCCUCUACUUAGAGAGGGGAGAGGAGGCAAGCAUGAGCUCCCAGCACACCUGGUGGUGAACAUGGACCUGUGUUUGUGAAAAAACCAUGGAGACACUGGUAAAUUCUAGUACCGCUCUCACAAAAAAAAAAAAACAAAAAAAACAAAAAAAAAAAACACGAAUUUCUUACAUAGAUUAACAGUUUAAAGUUUUUCAAGAGACUUACAGACUGGUGGGAAAGUCGUGAGAUGGAUUAUGGGAGAGACUUUUAACUUUGUGCAGCAAUUUAUACCAUUUCUGUGUGCCUGAUGAACCUUCUACACUGUACGGGUUACAAUGUUCACAUCUAUUUUUCAGGCUGUGGAGUCGAAUCCAUGCACACCUCACACAGCCUGUCAGUGGAGAAGAACAAAGAUUAUUGACUAAUUUGUAGCAUUGGGCAUUAAGACAAAGCCUACAUUAUAUUCGAGUGCUUUACCAUUGGCUAUCUCAGCAGUGUGUGUGUGUGUGUAUGUGUGUGUGUGUGUGUGUGUGUGUGUAUUUUAAGGAAGAAAAGUCAUAAAUUAUCCAUUCCAGUCUAGAAUCUUUCAGAAGUCACUGAGGAGCUAGGAACAUAGGCACACACACUAAGGCUACUUCCAAAAA